CGGAAAGCUCGGCUACGCCACUUGAGUGAGGGUCUCGGUGGUCCGGACCCGGGCUCUCUUGCGCGGCAUUCAGAGAGGAGAGGUACCUUUGAAAGCAGAAGAAAUAACCAUUUUCCUUUCUGCAGUCCAGGAAACAAAUCUUACCAAAGACAGAUCAACUUUGAGCACGUGGACUGAAGGGGCGGCUACCUGGCUGCUGCCUGACCUCUGUGCGCACCCCAGUCUUUGUCUCAGGCUCGCCCACACUGCAGUCCUAUGAAUCAGACUGUCGACUUGUCAUCAAAUAGAAGGAUCCUAUGAAUCAGA